CUUUUGGAUGUCUGAUCCAACCUGUGGCGUAGUCUACACUACCACUACUGACAGAAUAUCCUGUUACUUUACAGGUAAGGACCAAUGGCUCUGUCGUUCUCACAACGACAGCGACAGGCUGGGAAAGUUCCAAGCUAUGAACACCUGCAAAAUAGAUAGACCUUAAGAAGCUUUCAAAUUAUUCAAGGCCAGUAGGCCUACAUUUCUUUAACCAAAUGCAUACUUACAGACGCCACAUUUAAAAAGCAAAAGCAGAACUACGUGAAACAUGAUUUAUGAUGUAGUUUCAGUUGUUUAAAAGAGUAUUCUUUCUACCCAAGAACUUAGAGGACUUGACAGUGUUGAACACAGACACUGUUUAUGUAGUACAAAGAGGGGGUGGAUUUGCAUUUUGCAAAAAAGACAAAUGAUUACGUUACAGGUCGACGGGUCCGAUGCCCUUAUUAAGACUUCCUGGGUAAGGACCAAUGGCUCUGUCGUUCUCACAACGACAGCGGCAGGCUGGGAAAGUUCCAAGCUAUGAACACCUGCAAAGUAGAUAGACCUUAAGAAGCUUUCAAAUUAUUCAAGUCCAGAAGGCCUUCAUUUCUUUAACCAAAUGCAUACUUACAGACGCCACAUUUAAAAAGCAAAAGCAGAACUAUGCGAAACAUGAUUUAUGGUGUAGUUUUAGUUGUUUAAAAGUGUAUUCUUUCUACCUAAGAACUUAGAGGGCUUGACAGUGUUGAACACAGACACUGUUUAUGUAGUACAAAGAGGGGGUGGAUUUGCAUUUUGCAAAAAAGACAAAUGAUUACGUUACAGGUCGACGGGGCCGAUGCCCUUAUUAAGACUUCCUGGGUAUGUUUAUAUUUGUCAAUAUUGCAUUUCUAUUGCACGUUUCAGAACCUAACAAUGAUAAUUGAUUAUAUAUAUAUCUUGUGUUUAAUAUUAUAUAGGCCUACUUAUACUUUUUUUAAUAACAUGGAAUGUUUUCUGUCUUUUAGUUACAUGUUAUUACUUGUUCACAUUGCAUGUGAAUGUUUUUUGUGUUUUAAUUACAUAUUUUGCGUGUGCUUUUUGUCCUACUUGUUGUAUGUUGUACGUCCUGGCACUUAAUGUACGCAUUUAUUGUGUGUCAUAUUUAGUUAUAGUGCUUAGUUAUGUAGCAUCUUAACAUAGCUAUCUGGGUUGAAUACGGGGAAUAGGUUAACCUAGCGAUUGUUGGUGCCUUGCACUUGGUUCUAUGGACAUUCUUAUUGUACCAACAGCGAUAUAUUGUUUCACUUUUUUCAUGUACCUGCUGUAAGUCGCUUUGGAUAAAAGCAUCAGCUAAAUGCCCUAAAUGUUAUUGUAAAUGUCUUGUAAUAACAUUGCCAUUGCUUUUCCAGCAGCACUCAGAACUUUAUACGGCAAUUUAAAAAGUUUUCAAUAAAUUAAUUAAGUUUUUAAUUGAUGAAAAUGUAUCAAUACUAAUAAAAUAAAGUUCUGAUAGCAAACCAGUUCAUAAUCACCAGAAUACAAAUGGCUGUAGGAUUUAUUAAUACAUAAUUUGCCCUGUUUUUAUUUUCAAGUAAUAAGAUAAUUGUUUGUUCUUCAGAGUUGGACUUUCUGUAUUUAUUAGCUUAUAUUCUGAGAAAAAUAACCAAUGAGAUGAUUUAAAGCUUUUCCUCUGGAGGGUGCAUGUUACGACAGCUCAUGCGUGAAGGGUUUUUGUAUAUUCGUCAUAAUAGUUAGUAACGCUGGUGCCUGGCACAGUAAUACACAGCUGAGGCUCCAGGCUGCAUGUUUUGUCCUUGCAAAGUAGCUGUUUUGCUGGCCUCGUUAACAGAAAUACUGAAUUUGCUACCCAGGGAUUCUUUCACGGCCUAUCCAUUCCAGUGCGUUUCCUUCAGGUUGUCUUAUCCAAGCUGUAUAGCAGCGACUAACAGCAUAAGAGACCUGACAGCGGAUGGUCAGAGGUUGACCAGGUCGGACAGUCAGAGACUCUGGCUUUUGGUCAUAAAUUAUCUACUUAAACAUGAAUCAAUAUGUUUUCUUAUUGAUUGGAUAUUUUCUCAUAAAGCCUCACCAGAGCCAGCAGCCAGGAGCAGCAGCAGUACAGCUACAGAGAACAUGGUUUGUUUUGAAGCUGAACUGGAGGAAGAUGUUAUUAAUAUUUGCUUGUAUUAAAAAAAUAACAUUAAUAAAAUGAAUAAUGUCAUGUGAGAAUAAAGGCUGUUUAAAGAUGUAAACUUUGUGUUAUUGUGCGUAGGCUGUAUGUCUUGUAUGUCUCAUGAUAUAUGUAGGCCUAACUUUUUUGUUUUAUUAAUACCGUGAGGUAUUCUGUCCUUUUAUACCAUUUUAUUUUUAGGUCUAAAUUUGAAGUGUUGUAAUGCAUGUUAUCCGUCUAAUAAUAAGGAAUAUGUGUUCUGUCUUGAUUAAAAUGAUAUAUGUCUGGC